GAAAGCUCUCGCUUAGCCUCUCAACCAGAUCGACUUGCAAAAACCGCGCUCAGCUCCAAGCAAAGGCAUGUCUCCUCCCCAUGCUGAUCGUAGCGCUACAUCCGGCGUAACGGCUGUCUCCGAUGUUAGCCUGACCGAGCAAGAGGGUUUGGGCGAACAUGCGUCGAGUGGCGUGGUUCUGGGAGCGGAAAACAGCGCGUCAGCUACAACAGACAUCAAUGGCAUCGUCCAUGGCAACACCACUCUGCCCCUAGUGGGCUGAAGAUGCUAAUCCUGUUGAAGGGUACGGUGACUUCAACCCCAUGGUCAUGCUGAUCGAGACUGCUCCUACAGAAAGUUGUGCGUCGAGCGGUGCGUCCUCGCGGGUCGGUGACGCCCGGCCGGGUUCCUGUUGCGAAGAUGAAGAAGUGACGAGCCCCCCGCUCAAAAAAUCCAGGUUGGUUUGACAUUAGUCGUCUAGGUAUAAU